ACGUGAAGGGAAGAAUUAAGGUGCGUGAAGGUGCUGACACGUGUUGAAGUUAUGGAGGGACAAACCCAGGAAGCAAACAGGACUUGGUAGUCUACCUGAUAGCAAGGGAAGGUAUUGCUGUAGUGGAGGAAAAAAAGUUGAUACGCUUAUGAAAGAAACUGAUGGGUAGGCACAAAAAAGGGGUAAGUGUCUGAGUGCCUGCUUUAUAACCCCUGGUGGUUUGGAGUUGCAGAGUUAAGCUGUUGAAGGUGACUUGAGAUACAAAAUCAGUAAGUCCAGUACGAAGUAAAAUACAAAAGUUCAAGAGAAGGAAAAUGUGAAUAACGUAUUGCAAUGUGUUUUAAACUUACUGGCGUAUGGCCCACUUUAUUCCCAUCUGAAAAGAGCCAUUGCUUUUCCAGUUCUUCAAUAGGAAAUUAAUUUUACUGGAUUCUGUUUUCUUAUUUCACUGGCAAUGGAAGUGCAUUAGCACAAUAAAUACAAUAUAUCCCCUUUCCAAAAAUGUACAAUCUAACGUUAAAUACUAUGUAAGCAGUGGAAGCUACGUGUAAAGGGGGCCAAAUAGUUGAGGGUACCCAAUGGGAAAACAAGGUUUGUAAUACAGAUGACCUGAUCUAAUCGCCAUAGUGCACUUAGUUGUAGAGCAGUUUUUGAAGGGCAAAAUAAAAGACACAGAGGAAAAUGAAAGGGGGGAUGAAAUGCAACAUAGUUUUAGCAAAACCAGACUGUGCCAGACUAACUUGUUACCUUGUGCUAGGAUUUUCUAGACGGAGGAAAUGCACUAGAUCUAACAUGUUCCAUUGUCAGGAAAGUAUUUGGUAUUGUACCCUGUGAGGAAAUUAUAUAAAAUGGAGAAAAUUUGGAUUAAUUACGCUGUAAGGUGACUUGGAAAUGCACUGGCAGGUAAUAGGUGGAAAGCGAACAAACUGAUUCAGAAAGGAGGCUGCGAAUUGGAUUUUUCAAAGACUGUAUUAGAAAUUAUUUAAUUUUUUCCAUAGUGACACUAGUGAAAAAGUAGAACUGUGAUGAUAAAAUCUUAUGACACAAAACUGGUGGACUGUAUCAAUAGAGAGGAGGAUUGGAAUAUCCUGUGUACCAACAAGAUGAAUCGAAACUGAGAUUACUAGAAUGAGAUGAGAUUUAGCGAUGCAAAUAGAAGCUAAUCACAAUUUAUUCCAGAAGAGCUCAUCACUGUAGUGGUGAAUUGGUUGUGGGUGUAGUAGUCAGCAGCAGAAUGAUAGCGUGCUGCUAUGUGGUGUAGCUGAGGAAAAUAAGGAAAAGCUGGUGUCCUAGAAAUGAUUAGGGGAGGGAUUUCCUGUAGGUAUAGAAAAUAUUAAUGUCAAAAUAUAUGGCGUUAGUGAGACCUUGUCUGGAGCUCAAUUAUCACUCACGUUUAGAUAAAUGGGUUCAAACAGAUGGAUGGAACAGAUGCAGAAAAGGACCACAUGGGUGUUAAGAGGAAUAGAGAGACUGUUAGCGGAAAGACACAAAAGUAACGAUUACACGGUUUUUAUAUAGGGGAGGAAAAUAAUUAUGUGAGCUCAAGGUUAGAGUAAACAAGCAAAACAACUGCAUAUAAAGGGGAUAAUGAGCGCAGUUUGCUGGAAAUUACAGGAAGAGUUCUAACUAUCAGACCACCAAUAUUAUGGAGCAUUUUCAAAUGAGAAAGAAGUUUAAAUAUCUUUUAAAAUGAAGUUUGAUAAAUCUAGAAAAGAACAUCAACAUUUGGUUCUGCAUAGUAGUGGGCAAUUUGACUCGGGAAUCCUGGAUAUCCCCUCCCUUAAUUCUGCAUUCUUGUGCAUUGGUACGAUGGAUUCUGAGGUGGAUAUGUACAUUUACAGUGGGCCCAUUUUGAAAGCGCUGCUGGUUUUUGUCAUCUUAAUUUCCUUUUCCAUUAAUCAAGUUCUCUUCUUCGGGCCCUUACCAGAAGCAGAGUAGUUUGGUUAUAUUUGUUAUCAACUGCUUAUCCCCUGCACACUCUGAACUGUGCUGGCAGAAGAGAAGCGAUGUUCUUUACCUCGUUGACUUUAACACUGAGAGUGGACAAACUGUAUGGCUUGGUUGAAGGUGUACUCACUUGGUGCUGCCUGACUUCUUGCUCCUGGAUGGGCUCUUUGUAGAAGUCUUUGUGGAGCAAUUAAAGAAUUAACUGAAGGAUUAACAGAGAACCUUAAAAUUAGAGAACAUUGAUUUUCAGCAGGGCUGCCAUACUCUAGGCAGACAUUUCAGGCUUUUGCUUGGCAUUUUUGCUAUUUGGGAAAUCUCCGCAAAGCAGGGAGUUAAACAGUCGUUGCUCAGCCAUCCAUUUUAAUUUUAUUUUUCAGUCCACAACUGUUGUGGGUUAUUCAAAGAGAAAGAAUUUGUUUUAAGGAGGUAACUUCCCACUCAGUGACCAAUAGAAAAUUAAGUGAUGGACUCAAUCUAAUCAUCGGUGUAUGCGUUAAGUGCUACCAGUGGCAUUUUCACUGGUUGCUGAACUAGAGGAGUGAAUGGAUUAUAAGGAUUAAACUUCCUUCAUCCCCCUAGGGGUGAACAAGUCAUGUGAAAAUGGAAGGUUUAUUUGGUAGGAUACAGUAUGAAAGACUUGGAAGACAAAAAAAGAAAUAUAUAUUACCUCUAAAUGGUUUCUUGCACACUUCCGCUGUAAUAGAUGGUGGGAUGUGGGCUACAGACAGAAUCUUGAAGCUUACAGGGCAGAAAUGCGGCCGUAAAGUGAUUCUAUGAGUAUGGCAUGAAACACGCUUGGUCAUUAUUUAACCUGGAUUCCUGAAAAAUGUUUUUCUCUUUUGUCGUAAGUCUCAUUCUUUAAAGAAAAUUAUCCCUGCUCAUAACAGGUGCUUUAUCUUAUCCUUUUCUUGACCUUUUUGAAUUGGAAUUCAUGGACUUUCCCAGUGAAAUGGUGGGAAAACAGCGUUAUGACUACAGCAAAAGUGAAUUUUCUGACCUGAUUUGCCCGUGUCACCCUACAAGGCUUUCUGCCGCAAAAAGAGGCACUUCCACUAGUGUCACCAGUUUUUCAUUCUCUUGUGCUGUAUUAGACCUCUUGAACUACUACUGAUGGGCAGAGCAAAUUUAUGGAAGUGAGAAGCAUUCAUGUGAUAAGGUUGAUAAUUGCAUUUGCGUGAUUCAAUAACAAAAGCAAAACAGCUAAUAAUAUUAAACAAAAAUAAGGUGUUAGUGCUGUUAUUAAGAGUAGGACAAAUCCAUUUUGCUGUUUUUUUACAAGUCUGGGAGGAAUGUGUACACAUGUAUACUGACGUAUACACAUGCAUAUACACAGAUAUUCCUGCUUUGCUGUCUAUGGCUGGCUGAUGAGUAAACAUAGCAGAAGCUCAAUAUAUAACAGUGCUAGGAACUUACACAGUGGAAAAAAUGAAAGUAUGCCAGAACUUGGUUUGGUAGCAGUAGAUCGGGACAGGGAUGGCUCACUGCAUCCUGCAGCAGCUUUUUUGGAUUGGUUCUUUGUUGUUGCUGUUGUUUGUUUGUUUUUAAUUAUUAUUUGUAGGGAUGCUUUGGAACCAGGUCAUUGCUGCUGUAAAUCUGCAGAUUUUCAUUGAUGUCUCCAGAGGGAUAGUGAUUUACACCCUUGGCCUUCUGGGUGGGGACAUUAUUACGGUGUCUUUGGUCUUACAGAUUUUACUUCCUCUUAUUCCCAGAAAGAAAAAAACAGUCAAAGGAGAGAUAACAAUAAGCUCCUUCCGUGGUGGUGGUGGAGAAGCUCAGCACCUCUAAAAUGGUCAUACAGUUGGUACAAAAGCUCUUGGAUGUUGUUGUUACAGCAGCGUCUGUAGGAAUAGAAAUAGCAAGAGAAGAAGUAGGAAUUUUGGCAUUCCACUGGUCUCUUUCCAACUUGUGAAAAUCCUCGGAUGGAAGGAAGUGCCACCUUUUGGUGCUACUUAUUUUGUUUUCUGCAGUGCCUUCAUAUACAGAAUCUUCUCUCAAAAUUUAAUCAAAGCAGAAUAACUAACAAUUUGGCCACCUUCCAUGCGAUGGAGCAAUACAGCUGAGUUGUGGGUUGAUCGAAGCUUGCAUCACCACCCUGAACCAGAUUGCAUCUGCAGUCAUCUGGAACUGACUACAUGCCUGAACUGAUGAAAGAUGCUGUGGAAAUGUAGAUCUCUGGGCCCUUGGCAAGAUGCUUUUGCCGUAUCCUAUCUCUUUAUUGCCUGGUCCUCUGGAAGACACAAGAGUGAGAAUCAGUGGUGUGUCAUUACCCUGCAAAGAGCUUGAGAACUGCUUUGACAGCCAAUAGAAGAAAACGGUGUAAUGUGGCCACAGCAAGUGCAUGCUCUUCUAACAGUUUACGAUUGCACUAUGAUCCCAACGAGGAGUGAUGCUCAAACCUCCUUCUGAUUACCCGUGUUCUUUUCUCUUACUGUAACUGUGUUCUUUCUUUCCAACAUACAAGUGUUCAUGCAAAAAUGCCGAGAUUCUCCAUGCAGAUUAAAGUAGAUUUACGAAUUAAGAAAGGGCUGGUAUGGAACAAAAGGAAAAGUAAAUUAUCCCAGCAAUUUUGCACUUCCUUGCGAAGCCCUGUCUUUGGCGGGUGUUAUGUAGGAUACACACUCGGUGAGGUCUAUGAGAAUUUUCCUCGUGUAAAGACUGCAGGAGUUGGCCCUAGCAAAUCACACAAUUCGAAAAAUGGUGGCCAGUAAGCAAUAGGUGGGCUAUCUUGAGGAAGAAAGAACAGGAUGAAAACUUGACGAGAGCUUGAUCCUCUGUGGUGUCACCUUUCACAAUUGAGUGACAAACAAAGAAAAAAGGUGCCUAAAUCAACCACGAGGAUGGAUGCCUCCUGGCGUGGAAUAGAACGAAAUCCAGUGAUACACUCCUUCCCAUUAAAUCUAAUACAACUUGUGUAUGAUAAAGAUUAAUUUCUAAAAAUCAACCGUAAACCUGUAGGUCAGCCAAUAAGACAGUGACUUGACAAAUUUUUCAUUGCAGAGUGUAUGAUAGUUUCAUGCCUUUCAUCUGCAUCACUGCAGACAACAUAUAGUUGAAUCCAGUGAAGCUUGAGUCCCGCUAUGAAUUUGUUUUCCGCAAGUAGAUUAUGAACAGAAACCUUUGAUUUCUAUUAAUUUUGUAUCUUUGAGUGAAAAGCUAUUGUGUGUAUAUAUAUAUAUUUAA